rnacentral:ncRNA from 1 species
UCCUUCGGGGCAGGGCGCAAUUCCCUGACCGGUGGUAAAGCCCACUAACCUGUUUAUCAGGCCGAAACGGUGAAAUUCCGUUGCCGACGGUAAAGUCCGGAUGAGAGAAGAU